rnacentral:rRNA from 1 species
GAUUAGUGGCGAACGGGUGAGUAACACGUGAGUAACCUGCCCUUGACUCUGGGAUAAGCGUUGGAAACGACGUCUAAUACCGGAUACGACCUGCCCCGGCAUCGGGUGUUGGUGGAAAGAAUUUUGGUCAAGGAUGGACUCGCGGCCUAUCAGGUAGUUGGUGAGGUAAUGGCUCACCAAGCCUACGACGGGUAGCCGGCCUGAGAGGGUGACCGGCCACACUGGGACUGAGACACGGCCCAGACUCCUACGGGAGGCAGCAGUGGGGAAUAUUGCACAAUGGGCGAAAGCCUGAUGCAGCAACGCCGCGUGAGGGACGACGGCCUUCGGGUUGUAAACCUCUUUUAGCAGGGAAGAAGCGAAAGUGACGGUACCUGCAGAAAAAGCACCGGCUAACUACGUGCCAGCAGCCGCGGUAAUACGUAGGGUGCAAGCGUUGUCCGGAAUUAUUGGGCGUAAAGAGCUCGUAGGCGGUUUGUCGCGUCUGCUGUGAAAACCCGAGGCUCAACCUCGGGCCUGCAGUGGGUACGGGCAGACUAGAGUGCGGUAGGGGAGAUUGGAAUUCCUGGUGUAGCGGUGGAAUGCGCAGAUAUCAGGAGGAACACCGAUGGCGAAGGCAGAUCUCUGGGCCGUAACUGACGCUGAGGAG